rnacentral:rRNA from 1 species
ACACGCAUGACACACUGCAUAUCAAUAAGCGGAGAAAAGAAACUAACAAGGAUUCCCCUAGUAACGGCGAGUGAAGCGGGAAGAGCUCAGAUUUGAAAUCUUAAAGGGUUUCCCUUUACGAAUUGUAGUUUAAAGAAGUGUUUUCUGUUGGAGUUUCGGUAAAAGUUCUUUGGAAUAGGACAUCAUAGAGGGUGAGAAUCCCGUAUUUGACCGUUACUUUCCAGCUGUGUGAUACACUUUCAAAGAGUCGGAUUGUUUGGGAAUGCAGUCCAAGAUGGGUGGUAAAUUUCAUCUAAAGCUAAAUAUUGGCGAGAGACCGAUAGCGAACAAGUACCGUCGAGGGAAAGAUGAAAAGAACUUUGAAAAGAGAGUUCAAACAGUACGUGAAAUUGUCAAAAGGGAAGCGUUUGACACCAGUGUUGUUUAUUUCGAAAAUCAAUUCAAUAGUUUUUGAUUCUAAGUAGUAUUGACUUCAUCAGCUUGCUGCUUUCUUCUCAGAAAUUAUUGAAUGCACUUUUCAGUUAACAAGUCAACUUCAAUUUCUUUUGUUGUAAAAGGGUAAGAGGAAGGUGGCUUGCGCUUCGGCUCAAGUGUUUAUAGCCUUUGAUCUCUGCAAUCGGAGAGACUGAGGUCUGCAGCGUAGAUCCUUCGGGGUUAGAUACAUUUGUGCUAAGUUAUAACUUUUCAUAGACAACUUGUUGACUAUGUUUAGUCAUGUAGCUUACUCGCUUAUGCUAUUAUACCUACGCUUAGGAUGUUGAUCUGUAGUGCGUGCGC